GUGAACACCGGUCCGGGGGCCGCGGGAAUACGGAGGGGGCAAGCGGUGUCCGGAUUUAUGUGGCGUAAAGAGCGUGUAGGCGGCCAGACAGGUCCGUUGUGAAAACUCGAGGCUCAACCUCGAGACGCCGAUGGAAACCGUCUGGCUAGAGUCCGGAAGAGGAGAGUGGAAUUCCUGGUGUAGCGGUGAAAUGCGCAGAUAUCAGGAAGAACACCCGUGGCUAAGGCGGCUCUCUAGUACGGUACUGACGCUGAGACGCGAAAGCGUGGGGAGCGAACAGGAUUAGAUACCCGGGUAGUC
rnacentral:rRNA from 1 species